rnacentral:rRNA from 1 species
GCCAGACUCCUACGGGAGGCAGCAGUGAGGAAUAUUGGUCAAUGGGCGGAAGCCUGAACCAGCCAAGUCGCGUGAGGGAAGAAGGCCCUGCGGGUCGCAGACCUCUUUGGACGGGGAGCAAGGCCGCCGACGUGUCGGCGGAAGGAGAGUACCCGUAGAGCAAGCAUCGGCUAACUCCGUGCCAGCAGCCGCGGUAAUACGUAGGGGGCGAGCGUUGUCCGGAAUGACUGGGCGUAAAGGGAAUGUAGGCGGCCUUUUAAGUUAUGUGUGAAAGCCCACGGCUCAACUGUGGAAUUGCACAUAAAACUGGGAGGCUGGAGUGCAGGAGAGGUAAGCGGAAUUUCCAGUGUAGCGGUGGAAUGCGUAGAUAUUGGGAAGAACACCGGAGGCGAAGGCGGCUUACUGGACUGUAACUGACGCUGAGGCUCGAAAGCGUGGGGAGCAAACAGGAUUAGAUACCCGCGUAAU